GAUGAACGCUGGCGGCGUGCCUAAUACAUGCAAGUCGAGCGAACAGACGAGGAGCUUGCUCCUCUGACGUUAGCGGCGGACGGGUGAGUAACACGUGGAUAACCUACCUAUAAUACUGGGAUAACUUCGGGAAACCGGAGCUAAUACCGGAUAAUAUAUUGAACCGCAUGGUUCAAUAGUGAAAGACGGUUUUGCUGUCACUUAUAGAUGGAUCCGCGCCGCAUUAGCUAGUUGGUAAGGUAACGGCUUACCAAGGCAACGAUGCGUAGCCGACCUGAGAGGGUGAUCGGCCACACUGGAACUGAGACACGGUCCAGACUCCUACGGGAGGCAGCAGUAGGGAAUCUUCCACAAUGGGCGAAAGCCUGACGGAGCAACGCCGCGUGAGUGAUGAAGGUCUUCGGAUCGUAAAACUCUGUUAUUAGGGAAGAACAAAUGUGUAAGUAACUAUGCACGUCUUGACGGUACCUAAUCAGAAAGCCACGGCUAACUACGUG
rnacentral:rRNA from 1 species